AUGAACCAGUUACAGCAAUUGAUGGAUGCCUUGGCGUCAUCAGGCGACGAAGGACGCAGCAAGCUGCGAUAAGCUUCGGGGAGCGGCACGCACGCUUUGAUCCGAAGAUUUCCGAAUGGGGAAACCUGGCGCCGUUCAUACGGCGUCGCCCCGGUCUGAAUACAUAGGACCGGGUGCGCGACACGCGGAGAAGUGAAACAUCUCAGUAUCCGCAGGAAAAGAAUGAGAAUCGAUUCCGUUAGUAGUGGCGAGCGAACGCGGAACAGCCCAAACCGUCGGGAUUUAUCCUGACGGGGUUGUAGGACCACGACAUGGAAUGACGAGAGCUAUACGAACAUUCUGGAAAGAAUGGCCAUAGCGGGUGAUAGCCCCGUAGUUUAAAGCUCGAGUCUACCUAGUGGUAUCCUGAGUAGCACCGGACACGUGAAACCCGGUGUGAAUCCAUGCCGACCACGGCAUAAGGCUAAAUACUCGAUGACGACCGACAGUGAACUAGUACCGCGAGGGAAAGGUGAAAAGCACCCCUAUUAGGGGAGUGAAACAGUAACUGAAAUCAAUUGCUAACAAGUCAGUGGGAGCUCCCUUGUGGAGUGACCGCCUGCCUUUUGUAUAAUGAGUCUGCGAGUUAUUGCACGUAGCAAGCCUAAGCCGGUAACCGGUGGAGGCGCAGCGAAAGCGAGUCCGAAUAGGGCGCCCAGUUGCUUGCAAUAGACCCGAAACCGAGGUGAUCUAACCAUGGCCAGGUUGAAACUCCGGUAAAACGGAGUGGAGGACCGAACUCUUCAGUCUUGAGAAACUGUGAGAUGAGCUGUGGUUAGGAGCGAAAGACUAAUCAAACCCCGUGAUAGCUGGUUCUUUCCGAAAUAUAUUUGGGUAUAGCGUCGGGCGCUGAUUUGCGGAGGUAGAGCACUAAAUAAGCUAGGGCCCCUACCGGGGUACUGAACUUAAUUAAACUCCGAAUACCACGGGGCGAAGUCCGGCAGUCAGACUGUGGGGGAUAACCUUCAUAGUCGAAUGGAGAAUAAUCCACACCAUCGGUUAAGGUCCCAAAAUAUGGCUCAGUGUAAAAGGAUGUGAUUUUGCUUAGACAAUGGGGAUGUUGGCUUAGAGGCAGCCAUCAUUUAAACAGUGCGUAACAGCUGACCCAUCGAGCGAAAUUGCGCCGAAAAUGAUCGGGACUUAAGCCAUAUACCGAAGCCGUGGCUUCCACCGCAAGGUGGAGGGGUAGGAAAGCGUCCCAAGGGCAACGAAGUGGAAGGGUAACCGACCAUGGAGCGCUUGGGAGUGAGAAUGCAGACAUAAGUAACGAUAAAGCCGGUUGAAUUCCGGCUCGCCUAAAUCCCAAGGAUUCCUGGGGAAGGUUCGUCCUCCCAGGGUUAGUCGGGUGCUAAGACGAGGCCGUAAGGAAUAGUCGAUGCCAAUCUGGUUUAAUAUUCCAGAACCACUUCACUUGCGUUCGAUCCAUGGAGUGACGGAGAAAGCUAAGAUAGCAACGUGUUGAAUCGUUGUCGAAGCCCGUAGGUUCACCGGGAGUAAAACACCGGGUAAGACUGAAAGGCGACAGGACCCUGAAGCCACGGCUGAUGGGGAUUAUCUGAUGCUCUGCUUCCGAGAAAAGCUUCCUGGUUAGCAAGUGGGGUGCCCGUACCGUAAACCGACACAGGUGGGAAAGAUGAGUAUUCUAAGGCGCGCGAGUUAAAUCUCUCUAAGGAACUCGGCAAAUUAGCCCCGUAUCUUCGGUAGAAGGGGUGCCCCGCAAGGGGCCGCAGUUAAUUGCGUCAACCGACUGUUUAGCAAAAACACAGCUCUCUGCUAAGUCGCAAGACGACGUAUAGGGAGUGACACGUGACCAAUGCGGAAAGGUGAAAGCCUAGGGUGCAAGCUCUGGGUCUAAGCCCCCGUGAAUGUCGGCCGUAACUAUAACGGUCCUAAGGUAGCGAAAUUCCUUGUCGGGU
rnacentral:rRNA from 1 species